rnacentral:lncRNA from 1 species
CGUGGCUGUUUCUGAUUAACCUCAGGGUCUGGUUUGUUUUGUUUGUUUUCCUUGCUCAGGCAGUUCCCAUGUGACAGGCGGAGUUGGAAGCUGUCGGUGAGGUCCCGUCGGCUGGAGUUGGACCGGUGAACCGCUCUGCACGAUCCUCAAUAAAUACCACUGAUUGAGUGAUUGCCCAGGUGGACACCGGAAUGAUAUUUCAAUCUGCCAUUUGGUUUAUGACAAGACAGUGCUUGAAAAUUUAUGAAGAAAGGAGGGAGGGGCCGUGGCCGAUCCCAGAACUGCCCGUGGACUGGACAGCCCGGCUCAGCCCAGUCCUGCCCAGAGGAAAGGAAAACAGUCUAACCACGGGAUGCUCUUCCAGCCUCCAUUCCGGGCAGACCUGCAGACCCCGACCAGGGUCCCAGAGGGACCAAAGGGCUGAGGUGGGCACUGGGGAGGAGGGGCAGAUCUGGGUGAAGGGAAACUUUC